rnacentral:lncRNA from 1 species
GAGAAUGUAACUGAUACUUUUGAUAUGAAUGCAAAUAUGUUUUCCUCAGUCGUCACUUCCAAUUUCAAAUCCACCAGUAAAGGCCUUCCCAGUAGCCUAGACAGUAUUUCCACUGGAAAGCUUAAUCGAAGGUAUCAAAAGCUGGAAACCUCAUUUAUUCGUCUCCAAGUGGAACUAUUUGAUGUUGUAAAAAUGUUCCUGUGUGCGAAAUGUUCGGAGAAUAUCAUUUAGAUGGAAAUCUCGAUUCAGAGACAUCAGAUGAUGAAAUUGUAAAAAAUAAAUCAGCAGAUCUCAAAGUUAUCAAUGUCUCCAAAAGGGCAGCAAAGAAAAUUUCUUGCUCACCUAAGAAACGAAGAAAAUCUAGCAAAACUCCUGCUGGAGCUUCAAUUCAAGGAGAUGACUGUAGUGUUGCUCUUCAUAAUUUGCAAGAAGAAAAAAAUUACACACUGAAAAAUUUAACCUUAUCUUCAAGGAAAAGUUGGAAUUCCACAAGUGGUGUUGAAACUAGCGGUAAUUCUAGGAUUGAACCACUUCCUGUUCUGAGGCACUUAGGAAAACGUGUGGCAGAUGAAAAACUCAGUGUCAAAGAACCAUUCAUCAAAGUUUUACGACUAAACUAUGAGGAAGUGAAGGAUGGAAUAUCUGUUUUUGAUCUUGGAAGAAUUCCCUCUGCUACAAGUUGUUCAAUCUCAGGCAGUAGGCGGAAACAAGGCAAACCUCGCAAAUAUGAUUUCAAUAUAAACAAAACUAAAGGAGUCAUAAGUCCAUCCCAGCUGGUGUCCGAUCUGCAUUUUAUGGUGCGUAAUCCAAAAAAAAGAAUCAAGUGAGCUACAUGAUAAACAUUUUUACAAAAGACUGUCACAUUAUUCUGAUAAGUUCAUCCGCGACUUCGUGAUCAAGAAAAGCCUCUUUCCAUUGCCCACAAGGUGCCUUUUUCAUACCAUUAUACAUUUUAAGCCCAUAAAACAUUCCAUCAUUUUGUUUAAGAACCAAUCUGUCAUAAUAAAUUUUCGCCUUUAUGUAGGUUUCAAAUGCAAAUUCUGUUACGUAAUCUAGAGCUUUUAAAUGGAGCUGUUUCCUCAGGAUGUGACUAAUUCUGCUGAUGCUAGGACUGCUUUGAGGAGUUUUGAUGCCUCAAUAGGGACUAAGCUCUGCAGUUUUUCACAUCACCAAAAACGUGUUUUAGCCGGUUCUUUGAUUAGUUCCUGCAAGUUUUAUUUUAAUUAUCUCCUCAAACUUUUCUGGGAUGAUAUGAUCCUAUACAAAGCAGUACUUCUUUCAAGUUAGGUAAUUUUUUAUUUGGCAAAUUUUUGAAAAAUUAUUUUUUAAAGUUCUCUCUAGUUCAGUGUAGUUAGGGCUUAUUUUUUAAGUUUGACCGUUGGUUCUUGAAUGACUUGCUGAUAGUUUUGUGUAUUAUUAUACUUUUUUAAAUUAUCCCUGUAUGUAUGAAGAUACAUUUUCUAUCAUAUUAAAGUUACCUUCCUUGAAUGUAAUCGGACUUGUAAAAAGAGCUCUAAUUUUCUGAGAGAAAAUUAUUCUCAUCUUUUUGCCAACACUUGAAACCACAUCUUCCAUAAUCUAAAAAAUGUUUGUCUAGGAGCCUCCGAAUGAAUGCCUCCUUAAAUUUUUGAGAUUGAGAUGCAUUGGCAAAAAGUCAUAGUUAAUUUUCUCCAGGAAGAUAUGGUCCCUUUUCACAGAUCCGGUCACAAGUCAAACUGAGACUUUCAGAGAGGAAGUGCAACAUCUAAGUCCAGUUCAGACUGCAAGCUGAUAAAGUUUCUCUUUAAAGUCCCUUUUCUUUUUGAUGAUGUGACAGUUGGACUGCAUUAAGCAGAAAGGAACCAAGCCACAUCAGCUAUUGCCAAAUUAAAUUGGGCAUUUUAAUUUCUUAAAUGAAAACGAUUUUGAGCGGAUUUUUGAGCAAAAUUCAUUUGCAUAGUGCGAAGCAAAUUCCUUAAAAUUUUCAAAGGGAUCUGCAUAAUCGUUCUCUUGUAAAAAAUUAAAGUGCCCAGUUAACUUUGGCAAUAGCUGAUGUGGCCUGGUUCCUUUCUGCUAAACGCGGUCCAGUCAGAGGCAGGGGCGCAAAUUGUUCUUGACUAAAUUGCAGACGUGCUCCAAUAUUGUGGAGACUAAGAGUUCUUUUUAAAGCAGGCUAAAUUAGCGCGUUUUAUUAACCUGCUUUUUGCAAAAACCUUGCACAUCACCGAAAAUUGUGGAGAUCUAGAACAAUAUGCACCCCUCGUUAGAAGGUAAAAAGUCAAAUCUGAGAUCAUUUAAGUUCUAACUUACCUUAACUUUUAGGGCU